rnacentral:rRNA from 1 species
AGCGAACGUUAGCGGCGGGCCUAACACAUGCAAGUCGAACGAGAAAAUCCCUUCGGGGGUGAGUACAGUGGCGCACGGGUGAGGAACGCGUAGGUAAUCUACCCUCUGCGGGGGACAACACUCCGAAAGGAAUGCUAAUACCGCGUAAGACCACACUUACUAAGGUGAGAGUGGUGAAAGGUGCCUCAAAGCACCACCAGAGGAUGAGCCUGCGUCCCAUCAGCUUGUUGGUAAGGUAACGGCUUACCAAGGCGAAGACGGGUAGCUGGUCUGAGAGGAUGAUCAGCCACACUGGUACUGGAACACGGACCAGACUCCUACGGGAGGCAGCAGUGAGGAAUAUUGGGCAAUGGGCGAAAGCCUGACCCAGCCACGCCGCGUGUGUGAUGAAGGCCUUCGGGUCGUAAAGCACUUUCAGCAGUGAGGAAAGGGGUGUCGUUAAUAGCGCCAUCCUGUGACGUUAACUGCAGAAGAAGGACCGGCUAACUCCGUG